rnacentral:misc_RNA from 1 species
CCGACUUUGAGAAUCAAUUGCUGGUUUCUUUCCCAAAAGGCUGCUUUAAGUACUCUAUUCAUCACUUUCUCGUAAGAACAAAUAAUAAUAAUAGUAAAAGAAUCUUUAUAUGCCACCCAACAGAUCACCACCACCACCACCAGCUGCCUGCUCUUACCAUAUAUAAAAAGGAACAAUAAAGGGUUUUGAGCAAACCAAGAU